AAAUUGAAGAGUUUGAUCAUGGCUCAGAUUGAACGCUGGCGGCAGGCCUAACACAUGCAAGUCGAACGGUAACAGGAAGCAGCUUGCUGCUUCACUGACGAGUGGCGGACGGGUGAGUAAUGUCUGGGAAACUGCCUGAUGGAGGGGGAUAACUACUGGAAACGGUGGCUAAUACCGCAUAA
rnacentral:rRNA from 1 species